rfam:Camelus ferus unplaced genomic scaffold scaffold823, whole genome shotgun sequence.
GAGGAUAUAGCUCAGUGGUAGAGUGCAUGCUUAGCAUGCAUGAGGUCCUGGGUUUAAUCCCCAGUAUUUCUA